CAAUAGCGUAUAUUAAAGUUGUUGCGGUAAAAAAGCUCGUAGUUGGAUUUCUACCGAAGAUAGCCGGUCGGGUCUUCGACCUUGUAUCUGGUUUUGUCUUUGGUAUCCUCAUAGGGAACGUUUCUGCGCUUUAUUGCGUGGUGCGGUAUCUAUGACUUUUACUUUGAGGAAAUUAGAGUGUUCACGGCAGGCAAACGCCUUGAAUAUAUUAGCAUGGAAUAAUAACAUAGGAUCUUCGUCCUAUUUUGUUGGUUUCUAGGGCUAAGAUAAUGAUCAAUAGGGAUAAUUGGGGGCAUCUGUAUCAACGCGUCAGAGGUGGAAUUCUUGGAUUGCGUUGCGACAAACUACUGCGAAAGCAUUUGCCAAGGAUGUUUUCAUUGA
rnacentral:rRNA from 1 species